GCCUAACACAUGCAAGUCGAGCGAGGAGAUCCUCGGGAUGAUCCUAGCGGCGGACGGGUGAGUAACACGUGGGCAACCUGCCUCAUAGAGAGGAAUAGCCUUCCGAAAGGGAGAUUAAUACCUCAUAACAUUGCAGUUUCGCAUGGAACAGCAAUUAAAGGAGCAAUCCGCUAUGAGAUGGGCCCGCGGCGCAUUAGCUAGUUGGUGAGGUAACGGCUCACCAAGGCGACGAUGCGUAGCCGACCUGAGAGGGUGAUCGGCCACAUUGGGACUGAGACACGGCCCAGACUCCUACGGGAGGCAGCAGUGGGGAAUAUUGCACAAUGGGGGAAACCCUGAUGCCAGCAACGCCGCGUGAGUGAUGACGGCCUUCGGGUUGUAAAGCUCUGUCUUCAGGGACGAUAAUGACGGUACCUGAGGAGGAAGCCACGGCUAACUACGUGCCAGCCGCCGC
rnacentral:rRNA from 1 species